UGGGGAGCGGUGUGGUCAGUAUGUCCCUCUUUGAAGCUCCUGUUGGGUGGGGUUAUUGGCGAAAGGGGGAAUAACCUGUGGGCAAUCUGCCCUUCAGUCUGGGACAAGCCCUGGAAACGGGGUCUAAUACCGGAUAACACUUCCACUCUCCUGGGUGGAGGUUAAAAGCUCCGGCGGUGAAGGAUGAGCCCGCGGCCUAUCAGCUUGUUGGUGAGGUAACGGCUCACCAAGGCGACGACGGGUAGCCGGCCUGAGAGGGCGACCGGCCACACUGGGACUGAGACACGGCCCAGACUCCUACGGGAGGCAGCAGUGGGGAAUAUUGCACAAUGGGCGAAAGCCUGAUGCAGCGACGCCGCGUGAGGGAUGACGGCCUUCGGGUUGUAAACCUCUUUCAGCAGGGAAGAAGCGAAAGUGACGGUACCUGCUGAAGAAGCGCCGGCUAACUACGUGCCAGCAGCCGCGGUAAUACGUAGGGCGCAAGCGUUGUCCGGAAUUAUUGGGCGUAAAGAGCUCGUAGGCGGCUUGUCACGUCGGGUGUGAAAGCCCGGGGCUUAACCCCGGGUCUGCAUUCGAUACGGGCUAGCUAGAGUGUGGUAGGGGAGAUCGGAAUUCCUGGUGUAGCGGUGAAAUGCGCAGAUAUCAGGAGGAACACCGGUGGCGAAGGCGGAUCUCUGGGCCUUACUGACGCUGACGAGCGAAAGCUGGGGAGCGAACAUGAUUAGUACCCUGUUAGUCCACGCCGUAGACGGUGCGGUACUAG
rnacentral:rRNA from 1 species